CGCUGCCCAAUGGGCGGGUAGAGGAGGAGUCGGCCUCGCUCUGGUUCAGGCAGCUGCUAUAUAAUAGUCUCUGAGCGACAUUCCUUCCCUUUUUCCUGCGGAGAAUCGGAGAGACUGGUUCAAGUUGAGGGAACUAUGGAAAUAAACUUCAUGGUGAUAUCCUGGAAGUUGUGCAGAAUAAUUAAGGAGUCCCCUGUCAUCGCAUAGGUAGACAAUACUUCAGCUCUUCAUGAAAACAUCAACAGUUCUAGAAGACUAUAUGAUGUACAAUUGUGGAUGUUCCUGAAUAUUUAAGACAGAAUGUGACUUAUUAGCAAGUAUCCAGUGGAUAAUGAAUCAGUGAAUGAAUAACUGACAGCGCAGUUGGGAUAUAAAACUACUUGUGAUAUAAAACUACUUGCGACUCUAGUACUACUAAAGCAGAGAUCUUUGAAGGCUGGCUCAAUAUUAAAGUGAAAUGGUGGAAAAUGUAGGAGCAGAUGCAUUUAGUUAUUCAGUGAUGAGGUGGAAUUUUUGUUUCGUCACCUGACAAGUGUGGAUAGUAUCACUGAAAGAAGUCUGGCACCUGAAGAUACUCAGAUACCAAGAUUUUAACAACAAAAAAUGUUACCAGGUUUAUGCUUCUGAAAUAGUUUGUGGAGUUUGGUAGUUAAUAUUUCUGAAACUUCACAUGGCCCAGAAUCAGUUGGUCUCUGCUUCUUUUAAAACAAUGAGCAAUCAUGUUUUGUGGAAAUCUGAAGAUCUUGCCAAAAUUGAAGACCCAGCUCCCUCUAGUGAAACCAAAGCUGUCUUAUAAUAGGGAAACUGCAUGUGGGAUCAAAGAGAAAAUUCAGUUUUGCUAAAAUCAGUCUGGGAACAGAAGAUGUUAAAUCUGUCAUGACUUCUCUCAGAUUAUGGUGGCUGAAGGGAAAUAGAACAUAAAAUCUAAUUUUUCCCCACUGUUUAGCAGGAGAGGCUUCUCAGUAAACAAAAUAUUAAGGGCAACAAACAGGCUUCAGGGGGAAAAACUUAAAGUGGCUAGCCAGUUUCCUGUGAAGGAAAUAAAAGCACAAUAAAGAAAUAAAGCAUGCUUUGAUAUUACUGGCGAAAAAGGUAUGCCCUGGACCGUAAUAAAAUAGGCAAUGGAAAACCCAGGCACCUUCUGUGGAAAGAUGGUGAGAGCACUAAUUAAUGUAGAAAAUCAUAGUAAUGAGGCUUCUCCCUCUGAGAGCAAUUUCAUUCAGGAAGUGAAAGAGGAAGAUCAGUUGGUGGUAUUGAUCAGUGAAGCCACUGAGGAAGCAAAGAUCAAACAUUUGUAAGAAAGCAAAAUUCAACACUCUUCGUAGGAGUUGUGGUCACAAGAGAAAACUAGGCUUAAACCACAGCCUGGGUUCUGUUUAGGCUGGUGGGGAAAGAAGUAGGUUUUUAUGCACUGCUGCUCAACUGCAUGAUAAGACCAAUGCAUUGGUGUGGAACUCUUUUCUGUUGAGUAGAAAGAUGCUAGUAAUGUUAUGUUUUUUGUGGAAGAGGACCACCCAGGAAUUUGUUUUAAGAAACUUCUUGAAAAAUAACCAUGCCAUAAUGUGGGAGAAACAUCUCUGCAUUCAGCAACUAAGUACUAAUGCAGUAGGGAAAGAGGUAGAGGGGACAGGUCAUAACAUCUGAUAAAUUGCGGUCCACAACUAUUCCAGUCAGUGGCAUACCAUCCAGUAUGCUUUUUAAUGUUAGGAAGGGAAGCAGAUACACAGGCAAACUACCCAUCGACUGACACACUUUGAUAUGUCUUUCAGAGUUGAUUAAGAAAAAUCAUCCUGUAAUCUCCAUGAUUAAUACAAAACUGGCAACAAUGCUAGCAGUGGGGCUGCAGCCCUUUUAUUGUCAGGCAGAGGGCUUUCCAGGCACUAAUGGAAUACCCCAUUCCCAAGUGGCAAAUACCUAGC